ACGUCUGUCCUCUACCGUUCCCCGACCCAUCAGUAGAGAAGCUACGCUGCCUCGUCGUUCACGGAUAUCCCGAAAGCCGGAGGAAUAGCUCAAUCCUGUACAGCCAUGGCAGAAAACGCCGGCUUGGAAAACCACCGCAUCAAAAGCUUUAAAAACAAGGGACGUGAUGUCGAGACUAUGAGGAGGCAUCGAAAUGAAGUGACAGUCGAGCUGAGAAAGAACAAACGAGACGAGCAUCUACUGAAGAAGAGGAACGUCCCACUGGAGGAGAAUCUGGAAGACUCUGAUGUCGACUCUGACUUCAAAGCACAAAAUGUCACACUUGAUGUCAUUUUACAGAACGCCACAAGUGACAACGCCGUGGUUCAGCUCAGUGCUGUGCAGGCUGCCAGAAAACUCCUCUCCAGCGACAGAAACCCCCCGAUCGACGACUUGAUAAAGUCUGGUAUUCUGCCCAUCCUAGUCAAAUGUUUGGAGAGGGAUGACAACCCCUCGCUCCAGUUCGAGGCAGCCUGGGCCCUGACCAACAUUGCCUCAGGGACUUCGGCACAGACUCAGGCUGUGGUUAAAUCCAACGCCGUUCCUUUGUUCCUGCGACUGCUCCACUCCUCCCACCAGAAUGUGUGCGAACAGGCAGUCUGGGCUCUGGGCAACAUCAUCGGUGACGGCCCCCAGUGCAGGGACUACGUCAUCUCCCUGGGCGUGGUCGUCCCCCUGCUCUCAUUCAUCAACCCCUCCAUCCCCAUCAGCUUCCUCCGCAACGUCACCUGGGUCAUCGUCAACCUGUGCCGCAACAAGGACCCGCCGCCCCCCAUGGAGACCGUCCAAGAGGUGGGCACGAUUCUGCCGGCCCUCUGUUUGCUUAUAUACCACAUCGACCUAAAUAUUCUCGUAGACACGGUGUGGGCGUUAUCAUACCUGACCGACGGCGGUAAUGAGCAGAUCCAGAUGGUGAUAGAUUCGGGUGUGGUUCCCUUCCUCGUCCCGCUGCUCAGCCACCAGGAGGUCAAAGUUCAGACAGCCGCCCUGAGGGCCGUGGGGAACAUCGUGACCGGGACAGACGAACAGACGCAGGUGGUGCUCGACUGUGACGUGCUCUCGCACUUCCCCAACCUGCUCACACACCCCAAGGAGAAGAUCAACAAGGAAGCCGUGUGGUUCCUGUCCAACAUCACAGCAGGGAACCAGCAGCAGGUCCAGGCUGUAAUCGAUGCUGGACUCAUCCCCAUGAUCAUCCACCAACUGGCCAAGGGGGACUUUGGCACUCAGAAGGAGGCAGCCUGGGCCAUCAGCAACCUCACCAUCAGCGGGAGGAAAGACCAGUAUGGCUGUCGUGUGUACGUGUGGGUCCGUGUAGGUGGAGUUCCUGGUGGAGGAGAACGUCAUCCCUCCCUUCUGCAGCCUUCUGUCGGUCAAAGACUCCCAGGUGCUGCAGGUGGUGCUCGACGGCCUGAAGAACGUGCUCAUCAUGGCCGGGGACGAGGCCAGCACCAUCACGGAGAUCAUCGAGGAGUGUGGAGGUCUGGAGAAGAUAGAACAUCUGCAGCAGCAUGAGAAUGAAGACAUCUACAAACUAGCCUUUGAGAUUAUUGACCAGUACUUUGCCGGGGAUGAUAUCGACGAAGAUCCGAGUUUGAUCCCGGAGGCCACACAGGCGGGCUUCAGCUUCGACCCGGCCACCAACAUGCAAACCAAGGAGUUCAACUUCUAGACACCAGACGGUGGUUGUUUCAGCCAGCUGCACGGGUACUCCCUCAUCACCCCAGACAUUCAUCCAUCUCCCCUCCCACCUGGUACAGAAGGAUUCGACGUGGGGCCGUGAGGAAUCCCACUUUUGAAGGAUUGGCCCCUCCCCAUCUCUGGCACUGAGGGGUGCACUGCUUUGUGGUGUCCUUUUUAUUUAAAGAAACACAUGACAUCUUUCUUCUCUGAGCAUUACGGCCCGGCACACAGGAGUCCUGGUUAUGUGUGAGCAUCGCAACAUACGUCUGGUCAACGGCUUUGGGAGGAUGGCUGGCUUUUCCUCUGCCUGUGCUUCUCAAUAAUCCAUCGGAGCUCGGAAAUCAGAAAGAAGAGAAGUUGAUGUUUUUUGUUUCGUUGCCAAAAACCACUGUUUUCACCAAGGCAAACACGACCACACACACACACACACACACACACACACACAGAGACACACAGAGACAGACACACACACACACACACACACACACACACACACACACACACACACACACACACACACACACACACACACACACACACACGGCUAGAAUUUGUGCGCACACUUCUGGUAGAAGCGGAUACAUCACUAUUUUGGGGAAAGAAAUAUUGCUCUUAGUUCGUGUUUUAUUUUUUUGUGUUUUACCUUCCCUGGAUUGUUUUUCGGGUGUUAUGUCACAUGCACACACACACACCGACACACACAAUCACAGACACGCACUUAGUCACGUAGAAACCCGUUGGCCAGGUACCCCAAUGACCCUCACUCUCCUCCAGAUUAUAGAGCGGACCCCAGAGCUAAGCCAUGAACUACCACAGAGCCCCGCCGGCCGACCAGGUGCAUCCUGGGACAGGUGGGCGGGGCUGCAGCGUUCCUACAGCCUCGAGGAUUCCGUGGCAGGCGGACUUCUGACUCAAUGACGUCACUCCUUUUCGUGUGACCUCUUGUCGAAAAAAUGAUCAUGCUCAAAGACAUUUAAGUUUUGAACAGAAAGAAAAAGAUCAACAAAAAUGUGAAUAGAAACGCCAUAUUGUUCAUUUUAUUUUUUGUUUUUUUAUUUCCAAUUCAACCGCGGUCUCGAGCUCGUGUGCGAGCGGGGACCAGCGUUGGAUUGGGGGGGGCCGCGUUGAGGCAUGCCGUGUGUGGGGAGCGUCACUGGGUUGAGCCACAGUGACUUUAAGGAAGAGGGAGCAGGCCUUUGUGCUGGAGGAAUAUGUUCUGCCCGAGGGCCCUCCUGUAUCCAUCCCUCACUCACCCCGGUGCCCUCUGAGAAAACAAAAAGAAACACGAAAAA